rnacentral:rRNA from 1 species
AGCUUGCUCCCGGAAGUCAGCGGCGGACGGGUGAGUAACACGUAGGUAACCUGCCCCUUAGACUGGGAUAACUCCGGGAAACCGGAGCUAAUACGGGAUAAUAAAGAGAAUC